CCCUAUGGGGUGCAGCAGUAUCAGGGAAGAUUUUUGAUUGAAGAACUUUUUUCCCCUGCAUUCUAUAUCCGCUGGAUUCGGAAACUGGACCAGGUAUUUGGAAUCCCAUUGGUCGUCGGCAGUUUGUUGGGAAUCAUUACCAUUACGGAAAAGCGAAACCGUAUGCUUUGGAUCGGUUUUCUUGCCGGUUAUAUGGUAUAUGGAUUGGCGCUGCCGCAUCAUAUCGGGACGCAUGAUUAUUAUCAGCUUCCGUUAUUCCCGAUCCUCGCUGUCGGGGCUGGGAAAAUCGCUGAUUCCAUCGCAAAGGAUUUUCAGCAGUUCAAAUCAGCACAGAAAUACGCGAAAAUCUUUUUUUUUAUACUGCUUAUUGGAACCUUCGGCUGGUGGAUUGCAGACAGUGCAAUGACACUUAAGCGUGACGAUUAUCGGAAUUGGCCGAAACGUUGGCAGGAAUUGGCGGGAGGGC
rnacentral:rRNA from 1 species